rnacentral:lncRNA from 1 species
AAUAUAGUUGGGGUGCAGAUACAGGCCUUCCCCUAGGGAAACACUUGCAUCAGUAUUAGUGAGAGACCAAGUACACAUCUGAAGCAUUCCUGUGCUUUCUGUCCCCUUGUCAGGUGAAGUUGCCGACGUAUGACUGUCCAUCAGCCAGGAGAUGAACCCCCACCCGUGAGGCAGUGACUCAAGGUGGCAAGGGAGUCCCGGCAAGAAGUGUGGCGCACCCGAGUUGCUGCACUGCUUUUUGGAUCACCCAGCACGGUCUUCUGAAGUCUUCCUGAAAGCAUCCCUGGUGAUCUGUGAGCCCUUGGUCGUGUUGCCCGCCUUCUUCCUGUGGGUCUUGCUGGAUGCUCAUUGUCCCUGUGAGCCGAGGCCCUGGAGGCUUCAGAUUUAGGU